rnacentral:rRNA from 1 species
UGAGUAAUAUAUCGGAACGUGCCCAGUCGGUGGGGAUAACGUAGCGAAAGUUACGCUAAUACCGCAUACGAUCUAAGGAUGAAAGCGGGGAUCGCAAGACCUCGCGCGAUUGGAGCGGCCGAUAUCAGAUUAGGUAGUUGGUGAGGUAAAGGCUCACCAAGCCGACGAUCUGUAGCUGGUCUGAGAGGACGACCAGCCACACUGGAACUGAGACACGGUCCAGACUCCUACGGGAGGCAGCAGUGGGAAUUUUGGACAAUGGACGCAAGUCUGAUCCAGCAAUGCCGCGUGCAGGAUGAAGGCCUUCGGGUUGUAAACUGCUUUUGUACGGAACGAAACGGUGAGCUCUAAUACAGUUUGCUAAUGACGGUACCGUAAGAAUAAGCACCGGCUAACUACGUG